UACAGAGGGGGCAAGCGUUGUUCGGAAUUACUGGGCGUAAAGGGCUCGUAGGCGGCCAACUAAGUCGGACGUGAAAUCCCUCGGCUUAACCGGGGAACUGCGUCCGAUACUGGAUGGCUUGAGUUUGGGAGAGGGAUGCGGAAUUCCAGGUGUAGCGGUGAAAUGCGUAGAUAUCUGGAGGAACACCGGUGGCGAAGGCGGCAUCCUGGACCAACACUGACGCUGAUGAGCGAAAGCCAGGGGAGCAAACGGG
rnacentral:rRNA from 1 species